rnacentral:misc_RNA from 1 species
CUCAUUCUUGUCGGUCGUUCAUUCUUCUCGCUCAAUCAGAAAGAAAGAAACAAAGAAACAAAGAAAGAAACAAAAUGCUGUUCUCCACCGUCUUCGGCGCUGUUGCGCUCCUCGCUGCUGAGGCCUCCGCCCAUGGUGCUGUUACCUCCUAUGUGAUUGAUGGAACCACCUAUCCCGGCUACGAAGGUUUUGCCCCCGCUACCUCCCCCAAAACCAUCCAACGCCAAUGGCCCGACUACAAUCCCACCAUGACCGUGACCGACCG